rnacentral:lncRNA from 1 species
GGGCUGAUGAUUCUCCAGAGGCAGCCUGGGAGGCUGGCUAAUUCUGUUUAGGCAAAGCCUGCUUGCUCGCAGGGGUAAGUGGUGAUUUGCAACUUGAUUCCUAAAAAAGAGUGUGACCAAAAUGACGUGUAAGGCAGAUUUUCUUGUUGCCUUAAUUCCUUCCCACACCCCAUUGCCUACAAAAUACACACAGCUAGAGUGCCCCCACCCCAUGCCUAUUCUCUUAUUUCUUCCCCUAAAUCCACAGUGGCUGAUUAACACGGGGUGUGUGUGGGGCCUGUGGUCUGAAUUGUUAGCAAUUGGGGAAGGUGAGACCCGUUUAAAUUGUUCUUAAUUUCCCACCACACACGGGGGAGAAGGAAGCAGUUUUGUAAGUACGAGCCAGAAAUUGUAUUCAUAAAACAUUUAGUUGAGAUAACCCCAAACCAUGUUCCUCAAAUUCAAAUCACACAUGCUUAUUUGAAGUGGAAAACAGCUUUCUGAGAUCUAGUCCCAAUGUCCCUGACAUUGCAGGUGAAGACACUCUAGGGAAGUCUCUGCCAGACCCAAAAAGGAGAGCUAUAGCUAUGGACCAGCCUCAUCCUGCCUGUGUCUGUGUGGCCUGAGAAGAAAAGUGGGCCGAUUUCUCCAAUUUGAAGAAAGUGUGUUCGUUAAUUCAGUAAUAUUUCGGAGUGGCUGCAGGAGGCCUGGCUGUGUGCCAUCCUGAUGGCUUCAAGAAGUUUGUUUUGCCUUUUACUUUCCCGGUGUCUUCUCUUCCUCCAAAGCCAGAUCCACGAUGUGGCAUUCCUGUUCCACCUGGCUCUUCUGCGCUCCCAAGGACCCACUCCCAGAGCCUGCGGAAGCACAAGAUUGAACUGCUGCUGUUUGUCGGAAGGAGGCAGAGAAGAACUAGGCAUAUCUCCACAGGGAAAGAGUAGGCACUGGUCGUUCCUGAUGGAAGAGAUGCAAAGAAAAGACCAGAGCCUUGUUUAAGUAGCGUGUUUGCAUCCUGACACCAAGGGGAUCUGAUCAUCUGAGAGCUUCCAGUCUAGGUCUUAACAGCUUUCAAAAAUCAAACACGUUAAAACAAAACAAUACAAAACAAAAGCACAGAGAGGCAGUUGCACGUUUUUGCAGUCAUUUGUGUAAAGAGAUAACAUGUCUGUGGCACAAAAACUACCUACAAUAAGAGAUGUGUGGUUUGGCUCUUCUAGAAGAAAACGAAGCUUCCAGAAAUUGGCUACUGGUUUUGUAGAAAACGUGAAGUCAUUUCACAACAUUUCAUUAUAACAGUGAACUCAGAAACUCCUGUGAGACUCAUUUUAUUUUAGGGAGAGAGUGAGCACAUAUGCACGUGGUAGUGGU